AUACGGAGGGUGCAAGCGUUAUUCGGAAUCACUGGGCGUAAAGGACACGUAGGCGGGAAGCCAAGUCUGAUGUGAAAUCCUACAGCUUAACUGUAGAACUGCAUUGGAAACUGGUUACCUAGAGUAUGAGAGGGGGAGAUGGAAUUAGUGGUGUAGGGGUAAAAUCCGUAGAUAUCACUAGGAAUACCUAAAGCGAAGGCGAUCUCCUGGAACAUUACUGACGCUAAGGUGUGAAAGCGUGGGGAGCAAACGGGAUUAGAAACCCUAGUAGUCC
rnacentral:rRNA from 1 species